GAAACCUGCCCCGAGUCUGCCUGCUGAUUCUGCACCACAACGUGGGCCUCAUGUAUACUGGGUGAGGGAGGGACCCCAUCCCAGGAUGUGGAGGAUGAACACAGCACUCGCCACAAGACAGCCGCGAUGGAUACCCUGUAUCUACUGUGCAGACUCAGCCGGGGAGGACAUCGUGCCUGGCACGGAGAGAGGCAGUAGCUGUGGAGGGCAGUUUACUCGGCAGGUUUGCAGUGGCCACCUGAGGAGUCUGUGGAAGACUCAGAGGAUCCAGACAAAGAUCAAAGCCCCGAGCUCACUGCAGAGUCCAGUUGGAGUAAGGCUGGAAGCUGAAGUUCUACGUGAAAGGGAUGAAGAACCUGUAGA